rnacentral:lncRNA from 1 species
GCAUAAUAUAGUUCCAAAAUGUAUUCAUAUCCCGGUAACACGAGAGUAGUUCUAUGACAAUCAACACCAUUACUUGAAUUAACAUAUAUUUACCAUGAAUGCCAUUCCUCAACCCAUCUGACAGGAAUCGUUCUUCAAACAUGUAUUUGUAUGAAUAAAGACUUUCUUCCGUCAAAUGGUUUCGCAUUUUUCAUAUAUAUAUAUACACCAUAAAAGAAAUAAUAAACUAUUGUGAAAAAUAGUAUAAUAUUUAUUACUGUUAAUGAUGAAAUGUAAAUGAACUACACAAUUACAAAUACUA